UCAACGUAUAGGGUGAAAGGCUUAG
rnacentral:piRNA from 1 species